UUCAAGGUGAAUACGGCAGAGGACAUGACAUCUAUAUUUGGGUUGACUGGGGAAUCUCACACAUUAGAAGCUGUACAGAGGAGAGGAGGGAGAUAAAUAAAAUAUCCAUGGACACCUUGCCCUACCUCUUCGCCUCCCCUAAAAAAAUCACAAGGUUGAAUCUUCAGGCUCCCAGUUAACUGAGUGCUGAUCAGGAUUCACCACCUCCUCACUGCUCUCCUGAGGGUCUCAGCAAUUACCACAGUCUAAUACUAAAGGGGGAGCAGGAG
rnacentral:lncRNA from 1 species